rnacentral:tRNA from 1 species
GCCUGGGUGGCUCAGUCAGUUGAGCGUCUGACUUCAGCUCAGGUCAUGAUCACAGUCCGUGAGUUCGAGCCCCGCGUCGGGCU